rnacentral:rRNA from 1 species
UACGUAGGGUGCAAGCGUUGUCCGGAAUUAUUGGGCGUAAAGAGCUCGUAGGCGGUUUGUCGCGUCUGCUGUGAAAACCCGAGGCUCAACCUCGGGCCUGCAGUGGGUACGGGCAGACUAGAGUGCGGUAGGGGAGAUUGGAAUUCCAGGUGUAGCGGUGAAAUGCGUAGAUAUCUGGAGGAACACCGGUGGCAAAGGCGGCAUCCUGGACCGACACUGACGCUGAUGAGCGAAAGCCAGGGGAGCAAACGGG